AUCCACAUUCAGUGUUUCAGUGUUAAUAAUCAACUACAUUUAUUAUCUAUAUCAUAGAGACUUUGCUCUGGGAUUGCUCUGGGAUCAUUUUUCUACUUGGCUUCAACCAGCAUUAAGGUUUUCUGUAUUGCAGGCUUGCAAGUAAAGUGUCGACAAAGAUUUCUAAAACUGUUAAAGAGCAGGAAUAAGUGAUGGAGGCCGGUGCACCAUUAACUAGAAACCCUCAUUAUCUUGCAGACAUUAGACUAGUGCUUCUGGGGUCUGCAGAAGAAGGGAAAAGGUCAGUUGGAAACACCAUCCUGGGUAGAGAGGAGUUUAGUAGUCAGAAAACUGCCUUAUGUGUGACAAAAAUCGGAGCAGUGGUAGGGAGGCAGGUCACUGUUAUUAACACACCAGGCUGGGGUAGAGAGGAGCGUCUCGCUCAAACUCCUGUAAGUGUUCAAGAGCAGCAUCUGCAGUGUGUGUUUCCUCCAGGAGUCCAUGCUCUGCUGUUGGUGAUACGCGCAGACAAGAAAUUCACAGAGGCCCACAGGGCAGCACUGCAAGAUCACGUAGAGCUUCUUGGUGAGAAUGUAUGGAAUCACACCAUGGUGCUGUUUACCUGUGGGGACUGGCUGGGAGAAACACCCAUUGAGCAGUUCAUUUAUAGUGAAGGUGCGCCCCUUCAGUGGGUUGUGGACAAAUGCAGCUACAGGUAUUAUCGUAUCAACAAUACUGACAGGGCUGAUGUCAGACAGGUCUCACAGUUGCUGCAGUGCAUAGAGUUCGUCGUAGCUACGAACAAAGGGCAACGUUUUGGGAUAGACAAUGAAAGAUACGAGGCAGAGGUCAUGAAAAUGAAACAUCAGGAAAAAGCAAUGCAAGAGAUGCGACAGAGAGGGCAGCAGAUGAUGGGGAUGGGGAUGGGGAUGUGGCCACAGAAUUAAGACUGCAGAGGAACCAACUACAAUGAAAGAAGAGGACAAAGAGGCGAAAUGAAGGGGAAGCUCAACAAUAAAGAAAAUCAGAAUGGAAGCCACACAAAUUGUCACAAAAAAGGGAUUUACACUUAACAACCACAAACUCUUCCCCAAAGGAACUGAUUUAGAUUUACUUUUACAGAAUGAGUUUACUUGUUUACUGUGUCAGCUAUGAUUGUUGUUUAUACAUAUGCCUGGAAAGCAUGCGUAUUUGUUGAAUUCAUGUAUUCAGAAAUACACAAAAGGAAAUUGACAGACAGUUCUAAGAUACGUCAUAUGAAUUCCAAAGUGUGUGACUGUAUUCUGAUUUAAAAACUGCCCAGAUGUAACAAGUGUGUGAAGACUUGGGAUCAUGAUCAUAAAAUACCCAACAUAUGUGUUUCAAUUACAUUUAGGACAAAAAAUGGUGUAUGGUGAUGCUUGUGAAUAUUGCGUAGAUAUAAAAUAUGUGUUUGUGAGUAUGUGUGAGUGUGUGUGUCUGAGAAUAUUUUGCCUUUGCAUAGGUUUCUUUCACUUGUUUAGAGUACAAAGCAAAAUGAAUACAGCCAAAUGUAACGCUGUCACUGUAAAAUGAAGAAUGAAAUAAUAGCUUUAUAAAAUAUUAAAUAUAAAUGAGAAGAUUAAACAUAGUUAUAAACAUGUAA